UGCCAGCUGAGUUCCAGAGGGAGAUGAAAGCCCCAAACUGGGUUCACUUGCUUACUAGGCCAGUCAUCCUGUAUGUGUUGAGCACAAGGCUGCUCUCUGAAGCUGCACCCAGAUCAAAUGGGGGAAGAGUAACAGCGGUGCUGAGUCCAAAGUACUGAAAACCAAGAGACAAGAAGAGAUUAAAUAAGGAAAUAGCGGUCACCAAAAUCAUACUCCCUGAGGAGGUCAAGACCUUACCCUUACGUCAAGAAUCGGGAGAAAUCCUGGAGACAGACUUGAGAGGGUCAAUACAUCUCUUCGUCCCUCUUCCAAAUGUGAC